AUUUCUUGCCUCCUCCUCUUUCGAUUUUUUCACAACCGCCGCCUAGUCGUGCAACCACUCCUCCGCUGCCGCCGAGCAGUUAUUCCGCCGCCGGCCGCACCUCACACCGCCUGCCACCUUCGUCAUCCCUUGUUGGCGGAGAAUUCUCUUUAGGCGACUUUUGAAAGUGUUAAAGUGGCCUAUCAGUUUGUUUACACAAGUCUCUAAGGAUCAAUAAGCGUUGCCCAUCUACAGGUUUGAAGAUGAUGCAUCAUUGGGAUCGGGAUUAGAGAACUUGUAGUUAUAUUUGUUUUAUUAAGUGAUUUGGUUUGUUAACUUAGAUUUGAAAGUUGUCGUACUAUUCGUAUUUUCUUAUUUCCGUUAAUUGGUUUUGGACUUAAUAUGUAAUCGAUUAUUUAUGAACCUAAAAGUUAGUUUUAUGUUUUCCGCUGCAAAAUUCUGAAUAAGCCGUACGUUUUCAUACGGGCGAUAAUGCCUU